rnacentral:rRNA from 1 species
UACGUAGGGAGCAAGCGUUAAUCGGAAUUACUGGGCGUAAAGCGUGCGCAGGCGGUUAUGUAAGACAGAUGUGAAAUGCCCGGGCUUAACCUGGGAACUGCAUUUGUGACUGCAUGGCUAGAGUUUGGCAGAGGGGGGUAGAAUUCCACGUGUAGCAGUGAAAUGCGUAGAUAUGUGGAGGAACACCGAUGGCGAAGGCAGCCCCCUGGGUCAAGACUGACGCUCAUGCACGAAAGCGUGGGGAGCAAACAGG